GGACCCGUGCCCGAGACAAAAGGGCUACUUUGAUAGAGUACGCGACAGGGGCUCGAACCCCCUCGGCUCCU
rnacentral:tRNA from 1 species